AUUCUCGGCAAGCAGGUAGAAUUGGAGGUUGGCUUAAGCUCGCUGAGGUAGCAUCUCAGGGACGAUGGCAGAGGGAGAUAAUCAUGGCACCAACUUGCUGGCUGCAGAGACUACAAGUCUGGAAGAGAUGGGGAGAAGUGAUGCUGUGACGGAUAAAGUCCUCCGAUGGGAAAGAGCCUGGUUUCCACCUGCCAUCAUGGGUGUGGUUUCUUUGGUGUUUCUGAUUAUCUAACUAUCUAGAUCCAUCUGUUCUGUCCGGUGUUUCCUGUUUUGUCAUGUUUUUGUGCUUCGCUGAUUACCUUGUUCCCAUUCUAGCACCUAGAAUUUUUGGCUCCAAUAAAUGGACUACUGAACAGCAGCAAAGAUUCCAUGAAAUUUGCAGCAAUCUAGUAAAAUCUCGAUGCAGAGCUAUGGGCUGGUGGAAAUGCCUCUUCACACUAAAGGAAGAAAAGCCUAAAAUGUACUUCAUGACCAUGAUCAUUUCUCUUGCUGCGGUUGCUUGGGUGGGACAACAAGUACAUAACCUGCUUCUCACCUACCUGAUAGUGACUUUCUUACUGUUGCUUCCUGGACUUAACCAACAUGGAAUCAUCUCGAAGUACAUUGGAAUGGCCAAAAGGGAGAUAAACAAACUUCUCGAACAAAAAGAAAAGAAAAAUGAAUAAUCCAUCUGCUUUAUUCUGUGUGAUAAUGGGAUGUACACUGUCCUUGGGAACGGUUUCUAUUAUAAUGUCUGGAAACU